rnacentral:tRNA from 1 species
GUCUGGGUGGCUCAGUCGGUUGAGUGUCUGACUUCAGCUCAGGUCAUGGUCUCACGGUUCGUGGGUUCGAGCCCCAUGUCUGGCU